UUCUAUGAUGACAUGUGACCUAUAGGCUUAACUAUAAACAGGUUAUUGAAUUUAAUAUUUUUUAGAAAAGUAUUAAAUUCUAAAU
rnacentral:ncRNA from 3 species